rnacentral:rRNA from 1 species
GAAACCAACCGGGAUUGCCUCAGUAACGGCGAGUGAAGCGGCAAAAGCUCAAAUUUGAAAUCUGCGUAAGCCGAGUUGUAAUUUGAAGAUGGCUACUUUGGUAAUGGCUCUUGUCUAUGUUCCUUGGAACAGGACGUCACAGAGGGUGAGAAUCCCGUGCGAUGAGAUGUCCAUUACCGUGUAAAGUGCUUUCGAAGAGUCGAGUUGUUUGGGAAUGCAGCUCUAAGUGGGUGGUAAAUUCCAUCUAAAGCUAAAUAUUGGCGAGAGACCGAUAGCGAACAAGUACAGUGAUGGAAAGAUGAAAAGAACUUUGAAAAGAGAGUGAAAAAGUACGUGAAAUUGUUGAAAGGGAAGGGCUUGAGAUCAGACUUGGUAUUUUGUAUGGCUUGCUUUCGGGCGGGUCCUCUGCAGUUUACUGGGCCAGCAUCGGUUUGGGUGGCAGGAUAAUAGCAUAGGAAUGUGGCUCUACUUCGGUGGAGUGUUAUAGCCUUUGUUGAUACUGCCUGCCUAGACCGAGGACUGCGUCUUU